GACGAACGCUGGCGGCGUGCCUAAUACAUGCAAGUCGAGCGAACAGACGAGGAGCUUGCUCCUCUGACGUUAGCGGCGGACGGGUGAGUAACACGUGGAUAACCUACCUAUAAGACUGGGAUAACUUCGGGAAACCGGAGCUAAUACCGGAUAAUCUAUUGAACCGCAUGGUUCAAUAGUGAAAGACGGUUUUGCUGUCACUUAUAGAUGGAUCCGCGCCGCAUUAGCUAGUUGGUAAGGUAACGGCUUAUCAAGGCAACGAUGCGUAGCCGACCUGAGAGGGUGAUCGGCCACACUGGAACUGAGACACGGUCCAGACUCCUACGGGAGGCAGCAGUAGGGAAUCUUCCGCAGUAGGCGAAAGCUUGACGGAGCAACGCCGCGUGAGUGAUGAAGGUCUUCGGAUCGUAAAACUCUGUUAUUAGGGAAGAACAAAUGUGUAAGUAACUAUGCACGUCUUGACGGUACCUAAUCAGAAAGCCACGGCUAACUACGUG
rnacentral:rRNA from 1 species